rnacentral:rRNA from 1 species
UAGUUUGAUCCUGGCUCAGGACGAAUGGAAUGUCUUGCUUAACACUUGCAAGUCGAACGGGAACCUUUAUUUCAAAAAGGUGAGAGUGGCAAACGGGUGAGUAACACGUAGGCAACCUGCCGACAGGAUGGGGACAACAUUCCGAAAGGAAAGCUAAUACCGAAUGGAGUCCGAGAAUGGCAUCAUCCUUGGAUAAAAGAUGGCCUCUUAACAAUGCUAUCGCCUGUCGAUGGGCCUGCGUCUGAUUAGCCAGUUGGCGGGGUAACGGCCCACCAAAGCGACGAUCAGUAGCCGGUCUGAGAGGAUGAACGGUUUCAUUGGGACUGAGACACGGCCCAGACUCCUG